rnacentral:rRNA from 1 species
CCUACGGGUGGCUGCAGUGGGGAAUAUUGCACAAUGGGCGCAAGCCUGAUGCAGCGAUGCCACGUGUGUGAAGAAGGCCUUCGGGUUGUAAAGCACUUUCAGCGGGGAGGAAGGCGUUAAGGUUAAUAACCUUGUCGAUUGACGUUACCCGCAGAAGAAGCACCGGCUAACUCCGUGCCAGCAGCCGCGGUAAUACGGAGGGUGCAAGCGUUAAUCGGAAUUACUGGGCGUAAAGCGCACGCAGGCGGUCUGUCAAGUCGGAUGUGAAAUCCCCGGGCUCAACCUGGGAACUGCAUUCGAAACUGGCAGGCUAGAGUCUUGUAGAGGGGGGUAGAAUUCCAGGUGUAGCGGUGAAAUGCGUAGAGAUCUGGAGGAAUACCGGUGGCGGAGGCGGCCCCCUGGACAAAGACUGACGCUCAGGUGCGAAAGCGUGGGGAGCAAACAGGAUUAGAUACCCGGGUAGUC